ACUUCAGCGCAAUCUUCAUCCUCCUCGAAUUCGCAUUUUACCCAAGCAUAAGCUGCCACCAAAAACGUUCGUCAGCCUCAUUCAGCACAAAAGUGUCCUCAGCCUUUUACUAUGGUGAAAAGCUGGGAUGAGUAGCUCUAAAAGGAAAUUGUUGGGGAGAUUAUUAUGAAAAUGUUGAAUGCAAGGACUUCUUCUAACAACUCUAGGUAAUCAGCAGAAGCCCAAACCAAGAAAAGGGUACUGCAGAGUCCUUUUGUUUUGUUUUUGUGUUGUAGGGAUGGUAUAUAUAAGUUCACCUGGAGAAGGGUCUCUCAUCUUCUGAAAGUAGGUACAGUACUGAGGAGAGAUUUGUUGGAGGGAGAAGCGAUUGGACGAGGAUACGACCUCGUUCAACUUGCGCCAUCGAUCCUUCAGUGUUUUGUACCCGAACUCAAAGAUAUCUCCUUUUCCUUCCAUCUCAGCUAAGAUCACCUUGAUGAGCUGCAGAACUCUUAACUGAGUAUCUCGCGACACUCCCAUUGUAUUCACCUGCAUGUAUUGCACAACUUUCUCGUAUACUUUCUGAUCCUUUAUCAGUGCCCACCUUCAUAAAAAGGAAUUAGACUAGUUACUAGGUUUUUAAGAGCCUUAAAUUAGUAGAACAUAAUUUAGUUAAAAAAGAUACUGGUAAAUUGUUGCUUUUUGGUUCCCUGAACUUCCCUAUAUCUUAUGUCAUUAGAUGACCAAGUAGAUAGACGGUGGAUCGUUUGCAUUCUAUACAUCUAUUCUAUGGUGUUUGUUCAGAAACUGAAAACAAAAAUUUAUGAGCCACAUUUUUUUUGUUUUUGUUUUUUGCCUUUUUUUUUUAAGAAGAGUUUCCAAAUGUUAAUGUCUUUUUGACAAUGUAUUUACGUAUUACGGCUAAUAAUUAAAAGUGAACAGAAUAUAUACAUACCCAAACCUACUGCUAGCAUGGCCAGAUGUUUUGGAGCCAGAGAAGAGCAUGACAUCUUCAUCAGCAGGGGCCGGGAUUGCCGAGAAAUGAGGCCAAUAGUACGCGUGAUCGUAGAUCACCGAUUGGCCCCCGAGAACUGAUUUGUGCAGGAGCCCGUCAGGAUUGUUCGGCGACGUCACAAACUCGAUCAAGUUUGUCGUCGACACCGACGACGAGUUAAUCCAUUCUGAGGGAGCAGUGGCGACGACGCUGGCGGGGGAGGUGGCGUUGUCGGGGGAAAGCGCGUAGACGAGGGCGUUGAUCAGCUGGGUGGAUCCUGAUCCGAAGACGAUGAACUUGUCCUCUUCGACAGCAUUUCCGACCGCGCGGUGGAGAGCGCGGAUGUGGCGCUCCAGCUCGACGGAGAUGUAGCCGUUGGUGGUGCGGUAGCUCAUGCGGUGCCAUCCCGACACGACGAUGGUGCUUCCCGCAGCGUGCCGUCGCCAGUAGGGCUCCAAGAACAGUGGAUCUCCGCUGCAGACGAUGAUGAGAUAAACGACGAACACAAAUUUGAAUAGAAUUGGAGCAGAGCUAUUUUUAUUUUCGCUUCCUCGCACUUCCGUGUCCUCUACUCCACAUUUACCUGUCUCCUUAAUCCUCUUUGAUUAUUCUAAAGUCAUAGUUUUGACUAAUAAUCGAGAUUUCUAGUGUUAGAGCAUGACAAUAUGAACAUGCAAAACAAAACAAAGGAAAUUUGAUUUGUGCUGAUCAGCAGUGCAAGAAAACUAGUAAAUAUAAUUUAUAAAAAGUUAUGGACCAUCUUGCAUUAA